CAAUAUGAUAUGAAUGGUAGUAUU
rnacentral:siRNA from 1 species